rnacentral:rRNA from 1 species
UGGGGAAUUUUGGACAAUGGGCGAAAGCCUGAUCCAGCAAUGCCGCGUGUGUGAAGAAGGCCUUCGGGUUGUAAAGCACUUUUGUCCGGAAAGAAAUCCUUGGCUCUAAUACAGUCGGGGGAUGACGGUACCGGAAGAAUAAGCACCGGCUAACUACGUGCCAGCAGCCGCGGUAAUACGUAGGGUGCAAGCGUUAAUCGGAAUUACUGGGCGUAAGCGUGCGCAGGCGGUUUGCUAAGACCGAUGUGAAAUCCCCGGGCUCAACCUGGGAACUGCAUUGGUGACUGGCAGGCUAGAGUAUGGCAGAGGGGGGUAGAAUUCCACGUGUAGCAGUGAAAUGCGUAGAGAUGUGGAGGAAUACCGAUGGCGAAGGCAGCCCCCUGGGCCAAUACUGACGCUCAUGCACGAAAGCGUGGGGAGCAAACAGGAUUAGAUACCCUGGUAGUCCACGCCCUAAACGAUGUCAACUAGUUGUUGGGGAUUCAUUUCCUAGUAACGUAGCUAACGCGUGAAGUUGACCGCCUGGGGAGUACGGUCGCAAGAUUAAAACUCAAAUGAAUUGACGGGGUCAUAGCUGUUUCCU